AUACGUAGGGGGCGAGCGUUGUCCGGAAUUACUGGGCGUAAAGGGUGCGUAGGCGGCCUUGUAAGUCAGGUGUGAAAUACCACGGCUUAACUGUGGUUUUGCACAUGAAACUGUGAGGCUUGAGUAUAGGAGAGGAAAGCGGAAUUCCUAGUGUAGCGGUGAAAUGCGUAGAGAUUAGGAAGAACACCAGUGGCGAAGGCGGCUUUCUGGACUGUAACUGACGCUGAGGCACGAAAGCGUGGGUAGCGAACAGGAUUAGAUACCCUGGUAGUCCACGCUGUAAACGAUGGAUACUAGGUGUAGGGGGGUCAAACCUUCUGUGCCGGAGUUAACGCACUAAGUAUCCCGCCUGGGGAGUACGGCCGCAAGGCUAAA
rnacentral:rRNA from 1 species